rnacentral:lncRNA from 1 species
CACCGGCCCCCAGCCCGACGUCCGCCGCCGGCGCCCUCAUCCCGAAUCUCGCCGUCGCCGUUCUCGCCUCGUCCGUCGUCCUCCUCCUCCUCGGAUCCGUCCGUCACUGAGUGAUCCUGGGCGUAGACUAGUCAUUCCAGGGUGGAAUUGGGUCGUCUUUAGGGUUUCUUUCAAUAAGGGUGGUGGUGAUGGCGAUCGAUGAGUUUUUUUAACGCUUAGUAUGGGGUCUCUAGUGCGUGUGUGUGUAGAUAUGAUAUGCUUUGGCUGCAGAGAUUGAUGUGUUAUUAAUAGUUCUGUUUGUCUUUCUUUAGUUCAUGUUCAUGAUUUGUUGGUGAGAUUUUGUGGUGUGUGAUGGAUGGAUUGAUCUAUGGUUGAUGCAACCGAUGUCUGAGAUUAUUCUGGUGCCAUAAAUCUCCAAGCUUCCACUCUUUGUGAGGCCAGAGUGGAUCGAUGGGUCAAAAACACAACUUUGGGUUCCCAUCUUCCGAUCGAGAAAGCGAGUUCAUCGAUCAGCGUGCUGUGUCAUCGUACCUGUGCGCCGACGAGAGGGACCCGAGAUUUGUGCCUCUUUACCAACAAAGCAUGUGGUGGUGGCCCGAUGCCCUCAGGAGGAGGAUGACGAUCGAGGCAUAGCAUUUGGAAUCGAAGAUGCCGCUUCUUCAGUUACUUGAGCGGCUCAUCUUUGGGCAAAAGGGGAGAAGCAUCCUCGCUGUAAUAAAAAGAGAAUUGUUCUUGUCAUGACUUCUCAGUGACUCUUUACGUAAGUGCGUGAAUCUAUCUAUCUUUAACUCCAACUCCCCAACUUUCUCAUAUUUCCAGGUUGUAAACCAAAAGCAUAUUUUCAUAUUAGAUGUAUUUAUUUAUAUUAGAACAACUGUCAAGUGAGUCCCAACCACAAACCUUUAGGCAAAGGGUCGCAUCGCCGAAGUGCCACACUCACCUAUUCUUUUACUUAAAUAAACCCGAAUGCCAGAGGAAAGAAGGGUCCAUCACAUGAAUCCCUGACAGACACUUCCUCUUCCAUAUAUCUUUCUUAUUACGCUUCUUUGUCUUCCAUGUAGUUUUGUCAUCACACCCAGUUGGAGACAUGGCCUGUUAGAGGUCACCGAAACAGAACUUUCUGGUUCCCGUUGGACGUCGAGGAAGAUGGCUCUGUCCAAACUGCAGAGGAUGGAAGGCACUGACGAUGACACUUCACCAGCCAGGCUUCUUUUUUUAUCUUUGUGACGGGGACCUUUAACGCGUCAAAUUCAUAUUUGGGGAAGGAAUCUAAAUAGAAGCAGAAAGAUGAGGUGCCAAGACUUACUUUGCAUGCUAUAUAUGUGUAUGAACAUAUACUUAAACCAAGUCUUAUUAAACAUGCAAUGGGGUUGAGGGAAUGAAGAUGAUAAAUGUGUUAUUGUAGGCUUGUCGUAUGUGCUUGAUACAGAAAAGAUGAAUGCUUCCAUGACCACUACUUUUGACAGAGAGUAAAUACCUCGAGUGAAUCAUUUACAAAAAAAGGCAUCUCACGAACUCUGGAGUCUCAAUCUGACACAGAUUUCUCCAGCUACUGUCACUCUGGUCACAUUUCGAACCCACGGCCAGGCAUUAGUGACAUGAUUGGGUCAGGAACUAAAGCCUCUGUGGAGAGAAGACCAGCUGUUUGAGGGAAACCUCAGGCAAGCUUGAGCAGAAACCUCGGCCAUGGUUUCCUCCCUGAUGCCUGCAUUGCAGAUGUUUGCUAGGGACCUCAUGUGUUUCAUUCCAUACUGAGAUAAAGACCCACAGUAUGUUUCGAAGGCCCGUACCUACAACAACAAAAAGCAACGACAGCAUUGAAAUCAAAUGAUAAGUUAUGAUCUAGUCUAGAGAAUAUUCAACGAGAUCCAAGUUCUUUUUUAACAUCAACCAAUCGUUGAAACCGGUCUUUCGAGCGCCAAUCCUCGGAUUUCAUCAUCACAUACAUAUUUAGAGGAAGCAUUGACCUAGAAUGCAGUAUCUCACAGUACUCCAAGAAACUGAAUUGCCCUAGUAACAUAUCGAUCGACCAAAGAUUUAGAUAUGGUUUCUGUGAUGAUUCUUAGAAAAGACAAACAUAAGAGAUGGUUAUGAAGAGGCAAUUAAGAUUGAAACCAUGAGAAAAAGCUGGAAUAAUUGGGAUGUGCAAUUAGUCAUAGCAAUUUUCCUAUCACAAUUGCUGUCAGCCAGGAAUAGAGCUGCAACCUCAAAACAAUUUAGAAAUCAACUGUAUAUGUAUCAUGCUAGAGUACAAUUUUACAUGAAGUGACGAGGUGCCUAAUGUAGGUAAGAUGAAGUUUUCAGUUGCUUAGUUGUGAGUUUUAGUGUCUCAUACUAAGUGUGUUGUCUCAGCAACAAGACCACAUUGCAAAGCAAAAGAGGACUUCAUAGGAGGAUUCAGAGAUACAUCUAAGUUCAAUAUGUCGAAAGGUUAAGAUGAUCGGUUUACUCACCAUUGACUUGAGACAGGACCAGUCAUCCACUAAAGGCUGGCCAGCUGGUCGGACACUCUCGAGCACUUCAGGCCCUUGCUCGGAACCAAAAAGAAGCUUUCCAAUAAGUUGUAUACUGGUAUCUAUAUGCAGACGAUGUUCCAUUACUUCUAGUAGAUGCUUUUGAGCGUUAAGUUUCUGAUGGGAACCUUCAGGUGCCCUAUGAAACUUCGAAUAAGAAAAAAAAAAAAAAAUUAGUUGCAUAACAACAAAAGCAGCAUGGGCAAAGUGAUGUUUUAAAACCUAAUGUUGCAUAAAAGAUUCAAAGAACUUAUAAAUAAAAUGAACCUUAUGCCAGAAAUGAAUUAGAUCUGCAUCACGUUGGUUCACGGCCUCUGGUAAUGGUGGCAAGGAAUUAUAAUCAACAUAAGUGGGAUUAUCAUUGGCAGGAUUAGAACCUACGUACGAAACAAGUUUUUUUGCAUUUAGAUCCAGAUCCCCGUAUUGCAUGACAUGAGAACCAAAUAAAUAUGUCCUGUGAACUGCAGUCCUGGUUUUGACCUGCAAAGAUUAAUAGAAGUGCUUAAACGGACAGCUACAGAAACAGGUGACAUACGAUGAGGAAACUACGACAUCAAGUGCGUACAAGUUGAUACUGCUGCUUCAGUGUUUCAAUCUGCCAAUUGUGCAUAUAGCUGAUCAUGCAAAAAAAAUAACCAUGUAAGAUAACUAAAACCAAAAAGGUCAAUGGACAUCCAAGAUAUGACACACUACUUGACUGAUUUAUACACAAACAAGUAGGAUUAUAUUCUAUUUCUGUUUAUAUAUUCUAUCAGAAUACUUUUUUUCAGUUUAAUCAAAAGAAACCAUUAACUCAUCUGCAUCAAGAAGACCUAAAAGAGGAUCAUUAUUUUCUAAAAGAAAAUUCAAGCUAUACAAGGAUAAAUGACAUGCUGACGUGCCAAAAUAUAAAGCCAAGAAUAUCAUGCAACAACACUGGAUCUUUUUCUUUGUUUCUCUUUUUUCUGCUGUAAUAUCACUAGAUCUCAAGAAAGAAUAGAAGGUACAGUUUCAUUUUCUCUCAAACAGAAUGCUCACAUAAAGAUGCACAAUCUUGUAUGUAGAAAUGUUAUCCAAAAAGCAGAUGCAUAUAUUCGUCGACAACAAAAGAUGCUCAUUAUAUCAGAUAACCAGGAUGCUUCAUUUGGUGGAGAAGGUUUACACACCUGUCUUCCAUCCAAGAAACACUAUACAGAUCCCCCAAACAGGUAGAGUAUUCUGGAGGAGGGGAAGGGAACAUUCCGGGGCAGUAAGUUCCAUAACUACUCUCUGUAGUAUUUGCUGCAGUGGUUGCAUAUACUUUUAUAUUGUCUGGGAGAAGGCCCUCAAAAAUACUCCCAGAUUCACAAGCUUCAAGAUAAAAUACCUACAUAGUAAAACACGAACAAAUAUAAACUACAAUAUAAAAAAGUUAUGACAGUGCAUACGCAGGGUAUAUAAUAGAUGUUACCAUGCUUUUAAAGGAUCCAGAAGCAUGUUUUUUCUUUAACACGGCAAUCAAGUCAUCCGCAUAAAGGUAAGGAUAAGUGGGCAUCCCUAAGAAGUUUUAGAACAGAAAUUAGAAAAGCUAUCAUUCUGAUGCUACAAGUGUGGAGUCAGAAAAUAGAACAUUUGAGGAACUAAACCCGAUCCCAUGAGAUUCUCAAAUAAGCUGAGGUUUCACAAACUUUUACAACUUCACAGUAAAAUUGCAGCUAGUCAUAAUUCAAAGUUCUACAACUUCAGAAAAAGAACUACAUUCUCUUUCUUAUGGAAAUAUACGAAACCAAACAAACAAUUUAAUAAUUGGACUUACAAUGGCACAAUAAUAAGAAACAUAUAGUCCAACUAACCAAGUACUCCAGGUCCACCGUGAUCAGAGUAGAAAACGAAGAUAUGAUCAUUUGGAGCACUAUUAACAACCUUCCCACUUCCUCCAGACAAAGCAGUCUUGUUUCCCAGGAGUACAGCAAAGAAGUUGUUCACGUUAACAUCAUCUCCAACAUAGUCCUGCAAAGGAUUAUUCCAAACUUAGACAAGAGCCCAUGAUGAUGGACAGGAACUGUAAAUAUAAAUGUGAGAAAGAGAAAACCUUUGGCACUCCAGCAUAAACAUCUUCACCCCAUGGAUCAUUGAUAAUGACCCCAGGUCUAGGAUUAUCCUCAUUAUUAGCAAUGUCAUCAUACAUGAAAACAAUGAUAUUCUCAUCUUGCAAUCCACCCUUUUUCAGGACUUGGUAUGCAUGACAUACAUCAGCCUGAAGAAAGAAUUCAAAGAGAAGUGUUGAUAUUAGGCAAAAUUAACCAGAACUGAAUCAAGACAUGGAUGGAUGUUUUUAAUUUUGCAUAAAAAUGAUUUCCUAUUUAUGAUUACAGAAGAACUCACUAAGAAAUGGUCAAGCUGCAAAAAGAUAGCCACUUUAUAUAAUAAAAGUUGUCUGGCUAAAAAUAAUCAAUUGCCACUAAUUGUCAAUAUUCCAGUCAACAGCAAACUCCAAAAGCCUGGUGUCUUGUGAAGGCACAGUACAUUCAUUUUUGAAUUAGAGAAACACACUCCUCAUACAAAUGAUAUAAAUGACAUAAACAAUGAUAAAAGAACUUCCAAUCAGCAUUCGUAGUUGCUAUCAGUGUAACUUUAGGCAUUUUGUGUAACUAAAUGGUUGUGUAACUAAACAGUGAAUGUUUAUGUUACACCAUAAUUACGGAGGCAAUUAUGCAAUAUCAUAUAAAGGUAAUCCGAACGAGGCUUUUGUCGUUAUGUGCUUCAGAGUGUAUCAGAUACAGAUGGUCAUUAUACCCUCAGAUGUGUAGAGGGCGCUUCCGUGAUCUAACCCAUGACUAGGGGUGUUCAAACCUGUUCGAACCAAACUAUUAAGGGUCAAACCAAACCGAAUCAUUUUUUCAAUUUGAUUAGGUUAAAGUAAGGUAGUCCGAACUAGAACCAAUUCAAAACCGGUUAACUUGGUUCUGUUAACCGGUUUGUAAUUUCAUACAACUAAAAAAUAUAUUUUUUUUAAAUGAACCGGUUCAAUUCAAUUAAACCGAACCGAAAUCUUGGUCCAAUUGAGCAUCAUGACAAUCUUUGUGAAAUUGAGUCCACAUCAUAUGUAAAAUUGAGCCUUUGGGUCAGUUUUAUUGAUCAAUUUAAAUUGAUUAAGGGCUUAGGAUAGUAAACUCAACCAGAUUGAUAUCCUUUAAAUUAAGACUGGUUCAGUUCGAUCGAACCAGUUUAACCAAACUGAAGAAAGUUACCAUCGAACUGGAACCAUUUAUAGCCUCCAAAACUAAACCACUGGUGAAUCAGUUCUGACUGAACUGGUUUUGAAUUGGUUUGGUUCCGGUUCAGUUCGAUUUGAAUACCCUUACCCAUGACACCCAAACUGUAGUAGACAACUUUAGUGUCCAUUAAGGUUUGUUCCCUACUUCUGUGGAAAAAGAUAGCAAGCUAAACUUAAUAAAUGACAAUUGUAAGGUUGAAAACAUCAAAUUGAAUUUUAUACAAUUUUGAUAUUGUCUAUAGCCGAAACUUUGCAUAAUGAGCAGAAAAAUAUUUCAAAUUUGUUUUCCAAAAUUAGUACAAUUUUGUAGAUAUGCUAGUAUUGUGCUAAAGAGCAACUAAAAUGAUUUUCUUUUUCCACAUAAAAAGAAAAUUAAUUGGUGAUCUCUGGAAUCCAAUCAGUUAUAACCCAUCUCACAAUCAAACCUCAAAGAAGUGGAAACAACUAUACAAAAUAUCUAUCUACAUCGAGCUCUUUUAAACAAGGGUCAAUGUUCCUUAUCAAGCGAUGAUUCAGCUCUAGGCCAACCACGAUAAAAAAAUUCCAAGAGCUCACCAAUAGUUUACCGAACAGAUGCAAACUUUUUUAUGUUUCUGUAUGAAGUAAAUAAUAAACCAAUAGGAACAGCUUCGAGGGUUGAAAAAUGGAAUCAGAAGAACACAAAAUGACAGAAAUAUCGAAUAACAUUUAUGCAUAUAUGCUACCGCUACAACCCAACAAAGGGGACCGCAUACAUUUAAUUAGGCAAGAGAAAAUAGCAUGAGGAAAUGCCAGUAAUCAUGUCUGAUCAAUAUACUUUCCACAACCACGAGUCAAACCUAAACGUCUUUGCCUACCAAUUCUUUGAUCAUGAAGAAUUCAUCGGAAAAAUUGAGCUCGUGCCGCAUUCCGCAAGCACGUUAAUCAAAAUAUGGUCCUGUAUAUGCUAUCUAAUUGCGAAAUAUCAGAAAUUUCUUCGAGAAAUCCUUCAAAAGAACGCGCUGGUCCCUCGGGCACGCUAUUGACAAUAACGGUAACAUGAAACAAACAACGUUGACGAACGCGACAAAAUAAUAGAUUUCCAAACAGGAAGGCGGUUUGUUACUCCGAGAAGACGUUUUUGUUUCCUUCUUUCUCCAUGGAAAAAAUCAUGAGACGGAAGUGGGAGACGAUAUACCUGAUGGCGGUAGUUGUAGUAUCCAUUGGAUCCGGCAAUGAGGACCGCCCACCUCGUCCCCAAAGGGUCGCCCUCACCGAUGAUCGGUUUUGCCACGCGAUCGGACGGCAACCUUAUGGGAUCGAGGCGGGAUUCGACGAGCAGCAGCGGGACGAGGACGAGGACGAGGACGAGGCGGCGAAGCGCGCCGGCGGCAAAGCGGGCCAUCGUAACCGUUUCGGACGUAUCAAGGCGGAAGAGAUCCGAUAUAUCCGAUGUGGAUCGCUUACUCCGUAACGGAGGAGCGCCCCAAACAGAGGCAGGCCGCGAUUAGUGCUGACCAUUUAUAGGCCGCGGCGCGGGUCACCCCGAUAUAUUGGCCAUGGGAUCUGCUCGACGACGACGUGGAUCCGUCGCCACCGUCCCUUUUAUUGUUGGCUGAAUAUGACGCGGCCGUGGGACCGGGAACAAAGAUUAUCCCGACACUGCGGGACGGCGAACGUGACGUACCCAAAUCACUCACCUGUCCUUUAAAUGGAUGCAGCGUGUGGGACCACCUUCUUUGGGGGGACGUGUUGUCAUUCUUGGAACACACGUAGCACAAGGCCUUUUCCAAACGUAUCAAGGAGUUGAUCGUUUAACACGAAUCUCAACGGACGUAGAUUCGAUAUUGAUUUAAUACAAACAUCGCUUCGGAUUUUUAUUCUUAUGUUGAAAGCUUAUAUCUGUUAACAGCUUCACUGCGUUACCGUGGUGUUCAACCUACACGCUUCAUGAUAGGACAACAAGCAUGGGUCCCAUGCUGACUCUGCUGAACCGGUUCGCUGCUGAACGCGAAGGGGUAGGAAAAGUACCAUGUCGUGGCUGUAUCUCAAGCAAACAUUUUGGGCCCCAGAAGAGGUUGGUACGUAUGUCCUCGCGCGUAAGCUAUACGCGUCGGGAGUCCCUUUGGGAUGGACACCAAAGACGCUUGGAGACUCCACCACGACUCGUGGUGUCCCCGUGACGAAGCACAUUGAUGACUUCCCAAGUUUCUCUUUAAAUGAGCUCCUCGAUCCUUCGCCCAAACCUUUCUCUCUAUUUCGACUCCUCCACAUCCGUUUCUACGAGGUCUUCUUGAGUUAGGGUUCCGAGGGUUGGUCCGUCAUGAAUCCCGAAUAGUAAGCUUCUCCGAUCCUCGAUUUCUUUUCUUUUCCUUUACCAAGAAGUCUCUUGUCUGCUAUUAACUAGGGUUUUCUGUUCUUUGCGGCUUUUGAUUCGGCAGAUCGUCUCGUUUUCUUUUGGUUUUUUUUUUCUCGAUUUCCUAAUUUUCGGCAUGCUUUAGCCGGCUUUUCUCUCUUCAGGGGCGAGCGAGUUCAGGAUAUUAAUGUGACGAGGGUUUUUCCCCCUUUUCUUUUGCCGCACUAGUUGGCGACCAAAAUUCUACUGUUAAUGUCUGUUGUGAUGUGUGUAGAUCAGUCUCGGCAUGGAAUAUGAGAUCAUAAUGACCAAUAUUGGACCUUUUAUUAUUAGAAACUGGAUUCAAACAUUUGGUGCGUCCAUUGUGGCUAUCAGCUUUACCUCCUUUGAUGUGUGAUUUCAGCCAUCACAUCCACUUUGUGAGAAAGCUGAAUCCAUGUGAUGAUUAUGAGCACUCGUACAUGCUUUCACUAGAAAAUAAACGAAAGGAUAAACUAUUGUGUAAAGUAUCUUCUAACUUCGUGAGUUAUGUCUGAACUGAUAAAAUAACGAUCCAAGUUUGAUUUUUUUUUUUGUUUCAUGAGAUCAAAGGACAAUUUUGCAUAAAAAGAUAUUUAUUUUUUGUUUUCUCUCAUCUUUCUCGAAGUUUCAGUUUGUAGUACAGAUUCUAGUAAAGAUCUGUUGCGGAUAAAAUAAUCAGAUAUAGAUUUUUAACACUCUAUCGUGGAAAAAUUAGACUAGGAAGUUUUGUAAUUCAUGAUUUUCUUUUUUCUUUUUGUGCUAUCAUUGUUUGAGUGUGUCCUUGUCAUUUUAAUUUAGUUGAAACUGCUAAAUGGUGAUAAUUUUUCAACUAUGUUAAAAAUGAUAGAAUUUUGUUCUUUUGUAGGUAUGUUUUGCAGAUCCAUAAUACAUGUUUUUUAUUAUUAUUUUUUAUCAUUUUUUUAUAUCUUUGUUGAGCUUUUUGAUUUCUGAUGUGGUUAAAACUGAAACAGAUGAUGAAAAUUUUUCAAAACUGUUGAAGACGACAGUAUUUUGCUUCUUUUACCAGCUGUAAUUAAGCAUUGAAACUAUAUAAUAUCCUUGGUUUUUUGCAGCAGAAUAUUUUGUUGCUGCAUGAGAAUGAUUCUUAUCUGUUAUUUUCUAAUUCAUAAGAGACUUUUUUUUUAUGUUUGAUGAUUUUGUGAAUUGCUGAUAAGAUGAAGUUUUAGUCUAAGAUUGGUAAAACAAUUGUAAUAGAUAAUUAGAAAUGAUACCAUGGUGCAAGUGGAUAAUGAAUAAGGACUCAGAGGAACCUGCCCUUUCAGAGCUAAGGCAUAUAUAGGAAUAGGACCAAGUUCUUAUAUGGCAAGUAUAAAUUGAAAUAUGAGAUUCCAACUGAUUUAUAUAGAUCCUGGGAUGUUUUGAGAUUCCAUCAUACCAAAUUGAGCCAUUCUCACAUGGCAUCAAGUGUUAUACCUUUAGAUGGACUACCUCAUAGAUAUCUGCAGGUUCAUCAAUGUCUUUUGUUUGGAAAUGUUUCUUAUGAAGUGAAAAAAACACUCAUUAACAGAUUGAUAAAUUUUUUAGGGGAAAAAAAAACAGAUUGAUGAAGUUACAUUUAAUAAAAUGAAAAUUACAAUUUUGAUAGAACAUAUAAUAUUGAUUGCUAAAAAAAAACUAUUUUGAUGCAUAAAUAGAACAAUCCCUUGCAUGACUUAGUAUUAAGAAACAAAAAUAGAACAAUCCCUUGUAUGGCUUAGUAUUAAGAAGUUAUCUUAUUGCUAUUAUAGAAGUAUGCCAUAUAUGGAUUAGUAUUUUUGACUUUUGGUGUGAUAUAUCAAAUCAGAACUUGUGACAAUGUUAUUCCUAGUAAAUAUUAACAUUUAAUGUCAAGUAUUUCUUACUGAAGAAAGAAACAUGGCAUUUUGGAGACUACUUUUGUGCUAGUCAGGUCUAAGUUUAGCAGUUCUCUCCCUCAUCUUGAUUAAUGAGUGCAGUAAAUAGACUCCAAGCUGCCAAAUUAGACUUAAGUAGAAAUCUAAUGGCUCAUGAUACUCCAGUUUCUCAAAUGGGAGACAAAAAUAGGAACAAAGAUAUGCUGAUUUUCUCUACUUGUUGGGACCUGUGAAUUUAUUUUGCUCAGACUUGCUGUUAUGUGGUAUGUCAGCAAAUAUUUUCUUAUAAAAAAUAGUUGUUAUUGAAGCUAUAUAUCAACCAUAUGCAUUGAUUUUAGCACUCAUAUUUUAGUGGGUUGUAACUUUGUAAUUGCUUAACAGUUUUUGUAGCAUUAGGUACAGAUUCACCUAUGUCCAUUUUUCUAGCAUGGAGAAAAGUUGAGAUUGAUGCAAUUUUAUUUAUUAGGGAAUAGAAACUCUGAAUAUCAACAUCUAUGACCAAUGUAUAUAUUGCAGUGACUAUCUUUUCAAGCUUCUGCUUAUUGGGGAUUCGGGGGUUGGAAAAUCAUGCCUUCUACUUAGAUUUGCGGUGAAGAUCUCCUCUUUUGUCUUCUUUUCUAGUUCUUUGGAACUUGCUAUCAUCUUAUGAUAAUACUCUGUUGUGCUACUUUUGGCUUUUUCUAUGACACUAUAUCUUUUACUGUAGGAACAUUGUUACCAUGGAGGCAUACUGUUUUGAUCAUAUGGGAACAUUAUGUGUAACUGUCCAAUUUUAGGUCAUGUAUUUGUUGUGUUUGCUCAUUCUUUAUUCAUGUAUGGUGGCAGUUUCUAGUUCAACUAUUUCUUGUUGAAAAUAAGCACACACAUUGUUUACAUAUAUGAUCUCUGAUUGUUGAUUUUCUAUGAUGCACACACAUAAUAUCCCUUUCCAUUAUAUUUAAAUUCAUAACAGUUGAGAUUAAUUUUUUAUUUUGUGAUAUCGAAAUAAAUUAAUAAUUAUGCACUUAAUCAUAUUAAUUUAUUUUGAUUUCACAUAAUGAAAAGUUAAUCUCAACCGUUGGGGAUUUAAAUGUAAUUACAAGAGACAUCAUGCCGUAUGGUAAACAAAAGUUUGUUUAUCUAGAAAUUAUGAUUUUAUUAUCUUGUCUUUAUCGAUAUGAGAAUUCAUGAGUGUUAAAUUAAUACCAAGGAUCAUUAUAAAACCUGACAGAACAUAUAAUGAUUACAUGAAAGAACCUCCUAAAAUAUAAGUGUUCUGAAUAAGGUUUAGGGUGGAACAAUAUGUGUAUUAUGGAAAACCAACAAUCAGAGAUCAUAUAAGCAAAUAGUGUAUGUGCUUGUUUUCAGGAAGAAAAUAGUUGAAGCAGGAAUUGCUGCGGUAGACGAAUAAAGAAUGAGCAAACACAACAUAUGUAUAAAUUGGAAGACCUUGUAGAUGAUUCCAGUCCAAGGAAACCCUUAGGCAUAUUAUUUACUGUGCCCGUUGUUGAGAUCAUCAGUUGAGAUCAUCAUUCUUCCGUUUCAGGUAUAUUAGUUUUAGGAAGUUGGAAGUCUCUUUUCCUUCUUAGGAUAUUUCUAUUUGAUGUAAUCAGGCAAGGUUUGUGAGUUACUGACUUCUCCCAACCCCCCAAGAGUUUCCCCCCUCAGGUUCUAAAUUCAUGAGAUGUAUUUUCAUGACAAUUCUAUGUUUUCUAUGUAACAAUGCCUCAGAUUUUGACAUAUCUAAAGUUUUUGGGCAAUUUCACAUUUGAUGAACACUUGUUCAUUUUAUAUUGUGCAGUAACAAGUGUGAAUUACAUGUUUUAUUGCAUGAAAUGUGCUACAUUGUCUUAUUUUUCUGCAUUUUUAUUGAACCAUAUGGAGAUCUAUGAUAUGUAAGUUUCUCUUCUUGCUUGCUUCAGGAUGAUUCCUAUAUAGAAAGUUACAUCAGUACAAUUGGUGUAGACUUUGUGAGUAUGCUUACACUUUUAUACCCUUCUCCCUCUUGCUCCCUUUUCUCCUCUCCCCACCCAAAACUUGUUUCAUGACAGUUUCUUUUUAUCUCAUUAGAAAAUUCGCACGGUAGAGCAGGAUGGGAAAACCAUAAAACUUCAAAUUGUAAGUAAGAAUGAAUUUAGCAUCUGUCGUGAAGCAUUUAGGUUCUUUUCAUGCUAUUACGUUUUCUCUUCAUUGCAGUGGGACACUGCUGGUCAGGAACGCUUCAGGACAAUCACAAGUAGCUACUACCGCGGUGCACAUGGGAUUAUUGUGAGAUCCAUCGUGAUUCUAUUGCUGUGAUUUCAGUUUUCAUGGUUUACUAUACUGUUUUGUUUGACAAUAUAUGCCUGACAGGUGGUCUAUGACGUAACUGACCAAGAAAGUUUCAACAAUGUCAAGCAGUGGCUGAAUGAGAUUGACAGGUAUGCCAGUGAAAAUGUGAACAAGCUUUUGGUGGGAAACAAGUGUGAUCUGACCGAUAAUAGGGCAGUAUCUUAUGAAGCUGGCAAGGUAAUUAUUGCUGUUAAGGAGUAACAAAGGCAGGAUCCCUCAUCUUCUGCAGUCUGCAAUUUGAGUCGAAUGAGCUAACAAUCUCUGGCCUUGGUUCCUGAAGGCAUUUGCGGAUGAGAUCGGCAUACCAUUCCUGGAGACAAGUGCCAAGGACGCUACGAAUGUAGAGAAGGCAUUUAUGACCAUGGCUGCUGAUAUAAAGAACAGGUGAGCUUUUAUUUGUCGACAUUUGCAUGGAAGAACACUCCAACCUCGUAGAAUUAUCACUGUUUGAUUCGUUUUUAGUCAAGCUUUUAGAUCAUACUGAUAGUGUCAUUGGAUUUUUGUGUACAGAAUGGCAAGUCAGCCAGCUAUGAAUGCCAGCAAACCUACGACGGUCCAGAUGCGGGGUCAACCAGUCGCCACGAAGAGUAGCUGCUGCUCCUGAAUCAAUUCAACACAAUCAUACGCCUUUGCUCCAGACGAGAGGUCAUUAUGCUGAUAAAAGUUGGGGGGCUGUUUAUGGCGUGUAUUUGUGAAUUACAAUCAGAAACUCUGCUUGGUUUGUAUUGGAUUUAAAAGAAACAGGUUUGUGUUUAUCUGCCACCCGGAUGAUCUUGAGGUAUUCAAGUAUUAAUGACACAAAUAGUUGCUAUCUUGAUCCUCGAACGUAAUUCAUCCUAUGUAUAUACAUAUUUGCUAGUUUGCACUGACUUGAUCUUGCACGGGCGAACGCUGCCGGCCUUCUCCUUUUUAAGUUUGAUGUUUUAUUAUUGAGUAACGUCUUGUGCCAAAUCAAUGUUGCAACCUUGAAUGCUACGACUUGUAAUCUGGCGCGUGCCAUGUGAGCCAUGUGAUCGCCGCGGAUGGAGUGUUAGGUUCGUAAAGGGUUAUCUCAUAAAAUCUAUAAAAGAGUAAAUUAAUUAGUUUAAAAACUAGAUAGGUUCUGAUAUCUGAUGUUAUUUAUAUGAUUAUUUAUAUGAUCAAUUCACGAAAGGUUAUGCAAGAGAAAAAAAAGAGGAAAGAGAAAACAAAUAUUUUAGAAUGCAAAUGAACAGUCGGAAGUCUGCAAAUGAUUGUUCACCGAGUGUCGAGGGCGAUGGCAAAUUCUUGUAGACUUUGAAAUUCGUUUCUAUUCAUAGUUUUCAAGCAAAAAUAUAGAAAAUUAAGGCAAAAUACACUGCUAAGCAUAUGUGCAAGCAAACAAAAGCGAUUAACAAUUCAUUGACAAAGAACCUAUCUAGUUUUUAACUGUUCGUGACAUUCUCCCUCACUUAAACUGUUGACGCUCUUCAUGCUCCCAAGUGUCUUCCGUUCGAGGAAGAUUUCAUCACUUUACUAAGUAUUCAGUCUGCUAUGCUCCGUUGGAUAGUUUUGUCUUAUGAUCCAUUAAAAUGAUUUCAACUCAUUUAUAAUAGGAAACUCUGGUGGGAGGUAACAAAGUUGAAAUACUUCAGGAAGCAUCCUACGGGUUUGAGUGAUAGGCUUGUAAGUUGCUUGCGUGGAAGACUUAAUGGAUUUUGAGUCACGCUUGUAGUUGUAACUUAUAGGAGACAUUGUCUACCAUGUUGAUAAUUGAGAAUGAUCCUUUGCGCACCAAUCUCUUAUGCACAUUAUGCUUAAAGAACUAGAGUGAUGCUAGUUGGAGCUUCAUCAAUACCAAGUCACCAAUUUUAAACUCUUAUGGUCGUGUUUCCAAGUUUGCCCAAUUCUUCAUCCUUUUGAUAACAUUUUCUAAGUAAGCUCACACAAAAUUUACAUUUUGGUGUUAUUCUUUUAUAAAGUGAUAUUCGGUAUAACCAAUCGCAGGUAUAAAGAGUCGAUGACUGUUGUCCCAUAAUGAUAUCGAAAGGACUCUAAUUAAAUGCAAAGCUCUACUGUAAGUUAUAGGAGAAUUGGGCUAUAUCCAAUAGCUUCAACUAAUCUCAUUAGUUAGUACUUACAGUGCCGAAGAUAUUACUUAAAGAGUAAAUUUGUUCUUUUAGUUUGGCUAUUUGUUUGGGUGUAAAGGUUUGUGGAGAAGUUUAACUUAGAUCCUAGUAAUUUGAACAACUCGAUCCAAAAUUGUCCAAAGAACCAUGCGUCUCGAUUACUAAUGAUAUUGUGCGGGACUCCCCAAUACUUCAGCACAUUCUUUAUCAUUAACUUGGUCAUGUCUUCUGUUGAGCAGUGUAAGGGUGCAACAAUGAUUGUUGCAAAUUUUAAAAAUCGAUCAACUACCACAAGUAUCGAUCCAAGUCUUUCUAUUAUCGGCAAGCUUGAUAUGAAGUAUAAAAAAAUAUUCUCCCGUGACCUUUUUGGUACGGACAAUGACUCAAAAAAUUUCAUUGGCUUUCAUUGCUUUACUUUGUGAUAAAUAAGACACGUUCGAAUAUAUUACUCCACAUCGGUCUUCGUUUUCGGCUCAUAAAAGACCCUCUCCACGAGACCCAAUAUUUAGUGAAUGUUUAGAUGUCUAACCUAAAAGAAAUCAUGACAUUCUCUUAGGAAUUUAUGCCUCAAACUAUUCAUUUAAAGAACAUAAACUUUAUUACUUCGAAGAACAUACUUUAUCAUCAAACUCAAUAAACUAUUGAGUAUCACAUUCUCAUCAGCUUAAUAUCAACUCGGAUGUCUUGUCACUUCGAUAUUUGGUGGGCUGAUGUUGGGUUGCAAUGAUGUAAUUGUCCAAAAAGUUAAUUUGAUUUUUAAUUACCCUAAUGUUUAUUUACUUCAAUCAGUUAUCAAAAAUCAUUAUAAAAAGCCGAGAUACGAUUAGUUUGACCAAAGAUUAUUAUAACACUAUAAGAAAAACCUUAGUUAGCUCUGAAUCUCCUUCCGAUGGAUAAUAAAUUUAUUAUUAUAAAUUAGUGUUAGAACGAGGACCUAAUAUAACUCAUAUAUCAUAAGAUAAUUGAGUCAAAACCUCAUGAGAUCACAUAAAAGAUUCGAUACUAUUAACGCAAACACUUGCUUUGAGAAUAGGAUUAGGAAACCCUUUUUUCCUUAUCCUUAAAGCACAGUAACACUUCAACAUUUAGAUGAUGCUAGUUACAUCACUUAUGAUGAAUCAAUCAUCGUGCUGAAUUAGUUGUAGAAUAGACCAUGUAUAAAAAUAGAUCAACAGACACAAAUGAAUCGAUCAACAAACACAAAUGAAUCGUUUAAGCAUUGUAAAUCAAAAUUAAAUAAUAUUUUUUCACAAGUGAAAGAUACUAAUAAAUAAAUAUAAAUAUAAAAUAAAUUUAGAAUAUUUUUAUAAUUUAAAAUAUUUGAUUUCGAAACAUGACUCUAAUAUCAAUUAUAAACAUAAAACUAUAAUAUAUUAAUAUUAUGUAAAAAUACUGAUAUAUUAAAUUUAUAAUAUAUACCUUUGAAUACCGGUCGGAAAACCUUUAUUUGAUUUACAAACACACAUCAUUGAAUUUGAAAGUUACAAUAAUAUUAAUUUAUAAAGAGAACUAUAUUUCUUUUCUUAUUCUUGUAAACUAUAAGCAAUAAAUUAGAGACAAAUAAAAGAUCUUAGAAAUAAAUAUUUUGAGAAGAGCCAACACAAGUUCCUAAAAGUCAAGUCGACGAUUUCAAGUCAUAACCCCUUAAAAACUAUAUUUGAGAGACAAAUUAAAAGGACUCAACUUAAAGGAACACAACUUUAAAUGUUACAAAUUAGAUCUCCAUGGAGUUGUAGGACACUUUGGAGAUGCUAAACAAUCUCAUCACAAUAAAUGAUACUCAACUUAACAAUACACAACUCAAAAGUGUCCUACAAACAUUAGAGAUCAUCACUCUAAUACUUAUCUUAAUUAUAAGCAGCCUCUAAAUCCCCUUAAGAAAGAGAUUUUUGCCACACACAUCCCCAAGCAAUUUUGUAAGAAUGUAACCAAACCCAGGUGAAGUACUAUUACAUGAAUCAAACAUUCAAACAUUAUAUCGACAUUAAUGAAACAAUUGAUUCUCCUUUCUCAAGGCAUCAAUUUGCAAUCGCCACUCCAAAACAUACUAACCAACAUUGUAUCGACAAUAAAGAAAUAAUUGAUUCUCCUUUCUCAAGGCAUCAAUUUGCCGGGACAUUAAUAAACGGAUUGAAUGUCAAAUAAGGCUUCAAAGUACGUCUAUCCGCGUACUGGUUGGUACCUAUCGGUGAUCGGACGCCAAUAAGAGGCUCAGAAUACAUUGCUCAGAAGCCAAGCGUAACAAAGGCACUUCAUCGAAGACCCAAUUUGGUUGAAAGGAUCUUCUUACGUGUUAGCAGCUCAUCAUAGCAAUGUUUUCUCGGUGUUGACGAAAACCACACAGGCGAACGCUAAAUAAGCAGGUUUAGAAUCGAUACUGCUUAGUCUUUUGAAACACAUGGCUGUUUCAUACGGCCAAAAAGGAAAACUCGAAUGCAUUAUAGAAAAUGAAGCGCCAAUCAUGCAUAUCUCCACAAAUUGCUACAAGAAAUAUCAAUUGUUUGGCGAGCUAAUCUACAUCAUGUAAUGAAUGAUACCUAGAACUCAGUGAACGCUUGCCUGCUUCUAGUCCCAGAAUCAAAAGACAGAGACACUGAAUGCUUAGAAUCAAGGGAAAGGGAACCCGAAAUCGUUGCCAGAGACGGAAAAAAAGGACAAGAACGAAUGACUUGCAUAAUCGGGGAUCAAGCGAUUUUUAACACAAAUCAAUUUUGUAUCGAAGCAAAGAGUAAAAUCCUGGAGAAACCGAAACAAUCAGCGAAAAUCCAACUGCGCAAUAUCACAAGUGCACAAACUUUGACCGACAAGAGGUCUCCUCACUACAACCAAGGACCACGGGUCUCCGGCUGAAAUCAUUCGCGAAGCCCCUAGAAACAGUGGAACAAAGGCAACGACGAAGGAUUCGGCGAAAGAAAGGGGAGAGGAAACGAGGAGGUAAGGUCGCCUCCGCAAGCGAAUGGGAGGACGCGAACGAAUCGGAAGCUCGGACCACCACCGCUUAUAUAGCGCUGGAGGUCCGAAAACCCUAAAGCGUUCGGCCGAUCGCCUCCUCGUGUUAUGACCUAAGUGCCCCUGGUGGCCGAUUUGUUCGUUCCUUAUGUUAAGACGAAAGUACCCUUGAGCGUCCAAGAACCAACGGUUUCAGAUCCGUAUGUUAUGACGAAAGUACCCUCGAUCUUCCAAGAACCAACGGUUUUAGAUCCAUGGGCUAAAUAAAUAGCAAAUGCAAUAGAGACGCAUGUAAUGACGGAAGUGCCCCCGUAGGACCCAAGAAUUCCAAUCGACUCCAACGUAUUUGGAGCCUUCUGAUGCCUCGAGCAGAGUGAAAGGGAAGCCUUCAUCCAAAGCUUUGGGGCCGGAUUUGAAGUGAGAAAAAAUUGUGACAAAUACACAGCUGAAACUUAUACAGAUUAAUUUUAAUUUUCGUGCAUUAAUGGCUCCUCACAAGUAUGUGCUUUCGCUGGACCGACAGCAGAAAGCGCCUCAAAGAACGGGAGGAGGUCGCUAACAAGUCUCUCGUGAAUUCAUAUGACCACGGAAAGUCUCGCCAGCUCCCAAAGCAAUAUGAAGAACAAGAAGAAAAAGACGCAUAUCGCAUAGAGAAGGAAUGCCACAAAGCGUCUCUUCCUUGUGCUGUAGGCGAUGAUAGGGCAUGUAAGCGAGUUGGGAACAAAACUGAAAAGGACAAGUAGUUCAGGAAAAAGGAAACGAAACUAAGAUUUAGAGAUGAUAAAAAAAAAAAAAUCCACAGUAUUAAUCGAGGUACUAACAUUGAGAACUAGUCAUACCACUCCUCUCAAAGAAUCCAGUUUUUGAUGAAAUAAGAGACUGAAUUCAAAACCAUAAAAGAACAUAGGAAAAGCUUAUCGAAAUUUUUUGAUGAACAGGACAAAGAUUUAGCUUCUCAAAAUUUUUCGAUGAACAUGACAAAGCUCCUCGAAACCAUUAAGAUUUUCAAUGCUACAUCAAAACUCGAAGCAUUAUAUCUUCGUCUUGGAUGUCUACAUCAUAUACAGUCAUCAUAUCAACCUCGGACGGACUGAAUAUGUUUCGACCUGGCUACAGACACAGCUCAACAAUUCUCCCUUUCCCCAAUGAACUGCAAUGAGAUAAAAGAUAUGGACAACAUUAUGCAUCAAACAAGCAGUAGAAAUUUACAGUGUCAGUGACCGAGAAAUGCCAAGUAGGUAGAAAGCACACACUCAUGACCGAGUCAUGCUUUGAGAAAAGUCAUUGUUCCAAUACACUUGAUGUUAGCUAUUGCUUGUCAAUCGUGUUGACGAGCUCAAUGCUUCAGUGAUCCUACUGAAGACGAGUCUAAGUGGAACACAUGCAACGGCAGGUCCCACCAUCUUUUCAACCACUGGCUUUCUCUCUUCUCCCUUUUCUUUCUGAUCAACAUUAAUUGAUGACAGCCUUCUGAUCUUUCUGGGAGACAACCUUGGUUUCCUGUUUUUCGAAUAUUUCCUUUUCAAUGAAGUAACAUUUGUAACUUCACAGUUUAUCCCAACAACAUUGAGAUACAUCUGGGCCGACUUCCUUUUAGGUAGCGAUUUCCCAAUACUAUUUCCCCCAUCCUUCAGUGACUGAUCAAUAUGCCUGGUAGUUAACAGAGUAUCGACUAAGCCAUCUUCCACAACCUCUAUAGGAACGGGGUGACCGACAAUUUCUUUACUAUUUGAUUUACUCAUGAGAGAUAUUAGAGGUACAUGAGGUCCACGAUAGCUUGAUUGUACAGUCACUUCAACAUCGUAUAGACAAGAACCCACACCUGUAAAUUUCAGUUGCUUCGACACCUGAUACUUAGAGCUAGUUGAUAGAGAAACCUGGCCAUGAGGAAACAAUCGUUGAAUCAGCAGAGCGGAGAUAGGCACAUGUCUCUUGGAUGAUCUAUCUUGAUCUCUUGCAUGUGCAGGCUGAAUUUUUACAAGUUCUGACAGGGAAUGUCCAUGUUCAUCAGAAAGGUGAAGAUCAGAACUCUGAUUUGGGGGAACGUCAUGUACCUCUGAGACUGAUUCAUCCUUCACCAACUGACCACCAUGAGAAUUGGAGGUCACGGAUUCACCAAAACAACUGCCAUCAAUUUUACAACCUGCAAAAUACCUUUCCUCCUGUAUUUUACCCUUCAAGGAACUGUCAGGAACAGCCCCAUUCAUAAAGUUUUCUGAACUUGUAUUUUUGCUAAACCUUGAAUUGUUCAGGUUCUUUUUAUGGUUUAAAUGCCGUUCCAAGGACCUUUUUUCUGUUUCCCCUUUGAUGUUCUUAAACCGACCCUCCGAGCCAGUGAAGCUACUCUCACCAAGUCCUUCUGUGAAGUGUGAUUCAAGUUCAUCCUGGUGGCAACCAUUAUGUUGCUUUUCUGCUACAUCAGGGUGAAGAUCUCUAGUUGGAAAGUGUUCAAACAUGAUUGAAAAAUCUGGAACAUCAUAUUACAAACAAGUUAGUCAUUUUUACAAUCAAGAUUAUUGCAUUAACAUGGAAGACAAAAAGUGCACAUUCUCUGCAUUCUAAAUUGUAAUUAUGUACAUAACACCAACAUCAUAGUAACAGAAGAAUAACAUCUAGUUAUUUCAGUGCUGAUAAUUUUAUUUGGCACAGUUUAUAGUCUCACACAUAUGGUUGCCUUAAACUUAUGUUUCUUUAAAACAACUAAGCACCUUUAUAGAUCAAAACUAACUAACGAAUAAACAAGUGAGAGAAAAGAAGUUGGAAAGCAACAAAGUGACAUGAAAAGAUUACAGAACGAAAAAAUAGUCAGCAAAAAAUCCUGACAUAUUAUCAAGUUCCCAAAAAGAUAUAUGAUUAAUAUAUCAGUAGUAAGAAUCUGCAUUAACAAGAUUAAUUAAACAUGAAUUUACCAGCAAACAAGGGUAAAUGCUGAGUCUUUGGUAUCAUCAGGUAAAGACAUUCAAGUCAACUCCUAAUAAAAGAAAUUUUAAGGGUAAUGUGGGUGUGCAAAAUACAGACACCAUAACAUUGUUUGGUGAAAGAAGCAAGCUUACAUAAGCAUAAUUUGAAAUAUGUAAUUUCCUCAAAGAAUGACAAAAUGUUCUACAUGUAUAUCUCCUCACAAACUCAUGCAAAGUUGGUAGUCACUACAGUAGAAAUUGUACUUACGACAGUGUGCAUAAUAUCCUACUGGUGCAUGCUGCAGCAUGCCUGUGCAUAAUUGAUGUAGAUCGAGAGGUCAUGAAUCGGUCUAGGUUAAGAUGGGCCAUAUUACUUUUUCUGUUUUUAAAUAUUUAAGAAAAUUCUCAUUGCUUCUUUAUAUUUUGGAAAUAAAUAUCAAUGAGUUUGAGUCCCAAAAAACCAAGGACUCAAACUCACAAGCUAUACUGCCAUCUUUAUAUUUUGGAAAUAAAUAUCAAUGCUUUUACGUCAGAAAAAUAAACAAUGAAUAAGCCAUGGUCAUUAGUUUCUUACAACAAGGGGGGGGGAAAGACAAAUUUUUGGAGCUUGAUUGUUGAUAGAAAGGUCCUAUGAUCGAAUCUCAUCUUUGACGCUUACCAAAGUGAAAAUAAAAAGAGCUUAAGGGAUAAUAGUAACAAUAUUCUUAACCUACUAGCUUAACAACACGAAAAAUUCAAGAUGUAUAUGAACACUUAAACAGUAGUAGAAGUCAAGACUUGCAAUCAAGGUAAGAUAAGCUGAACUGCAACACGGAUAUGAUAAACAGAAAUGCACUCUCUACAACCAUAGGUAAUACUUGUUUACAAGGAACGCAGUCUCAUACCGACUGGCCAUAUCAGUCCUAGUCGAACAGGUACAUACAUACCCACUGAUAUAAGUGUAUGGCACAUGGUACACGAGUAUGUACCAAUGAAAUAGAUGGCAGCGGAGAAGAAAGGAGGAAGGAGGAAGAGGAAGUAAGAAAAGAGGCAGUGAAGAAAGAGGAGGAAGAAGAAAAAGAAGGAAGAGGAAAGAAGAAGAGGUGGCCGUGGAGGAAGGAGGAAGGGGGAAGAGGAAAAGGAUACAAGAAGGAUGGAGGAAGAAGAGGAGGAAGAGAAGGAAACAUAUCUGAAACGACAGCAGGCAAUGGGCGGCGGGCAGUGAGAGGUGAUAGCAAUGACUCGGAUGAGUGUCGGGGAAGAGAGCUAACGAAUGCAAGCCCAAACUUGUUUUUUUUUUUAUUGGUUGGAACAGACUGCCUGAAACGCGAUAGUCCAUGUACCAUUCUAUGUCCAAACCGGUAUGCUUUACUUAUCUGAGCAAAACAGCAUUCCUCGGUUGUGUACAUAUAAUCCUCUCCAACCUUCCAUUGGCACAAAAAAUCAUGUACCAAGCUAUAGUUAGUAAUAAAUUAAGUAGACGAUAAGAAAGAGAUGACACUCAUCCAAGAAUAUGACUGCAAGAAUCUAGAAUUCAUCAAAAAAGGAAAAAAAAUUAUAAUAGAAACAAACCCUCAAAUGUAAUAAUCCAGGUGAAAAAAAUUUCUGGAUAAGUACCUAUGAUGACCAAGUAUGCAGCAUAAGGACACAUCUUAAACUAAAACUGGGUUUAAGCUACAAGAAGCAUAAAAAUCCUUAUAGUAUGUCAAUACCAAUAUCCCACUCUACAGUGGGCAGCUGCAAAAUCCAAGUUCGUUGACAAGGUAACAUUGACAGAUUAUCUGGUAUAACAAUGGCAUCCAAGUCAUGUAACUUAGUAAUGCCAAUUUAUGAUCAGAAUGGCAUAAUAAAUGGCACAUGAAUGCACUGAAAAUGCCUAACAUUAGUUUACCAUGCUGAAGCAACAAGAUGUGUCAUCUCAUGCAAUUUAACUUUAAAUGUCAGGAUCUUCAUUGUUAUUCAAAUUUAGAAAUAGAAGAAAAUUAUAAGAAGAUCAAUUUUUAACACAAACAAAGGAGGAAAUUUGUAAGCAUACCUUCCCUGAUAUUGUCUGCCAUUAUCAGGGGAAUAUCAAUGAGGCCAUCGGAGCAGUCAUUGUCAAUAAACUCCAACAUGCUCGCAAGCUCCGAGUCCUUUACUUCAGAAUCAAAAUUUGCAUCAUCAAUUUCACGAGUGUUCUCACAAGCAUUCAACAAUGCCUCACUUGAAGUUCCUGAACAGUGUGGGCUGACGGUGAUGUCACAUGAAAUAUCUGUCCUCCUUGAAUUAGAUAGCAAUUCAUUCAACUUAUUUGGAGAAGCCCCUUGAAGAGAUGGUUGCCCUCCAAAAGCACCAUCCCAGUGACAAUAUGAUGGAACUAUAACUUUAGUACCCUCGCAAACUUUACUAAGUGCUAGUCGACGAUCUUUUCUUCUCACAUUCUCAUGAGAUUGGGCCACAUGUGAUCUCUUCCUUUUCAGGGAUGAAAAAGAAUCUUUGCUGCUCUUUAUUGAACUCAAACUAGAAAAUCCAUCAUAAAUGUCUGACUUGCUAAGUGAAGCAUUGUCAGGAAGGCCUAGCUCAGUGGACCAUCCUGUGCUAGCAUGCACAUUAGGCUUUCUAUUGGAUACAACCCCCAAACCUAUUUCCUGAAGAUCUCUCAUUCGUUUUAUUCCUUCGUUAUCUUCUGAAUCAUUUGGAGUUUUCCUUCUUUUUUUUUCUGAUUGCUUAAUAUCAGGAGAAAUCAGAUCGUUUGUUUGUUCAUAUGACACUAAAGAUUGAGAUACCUCUUGAGCCGAAUUCUCCUCAAGAACAUCGAGUUUCCUGGCCACAUGACCUAAUUGUUUGUCAAGCCCAUAUACCUUUCUUGACUUCAUGGGAAAAUCAUAACCCAUUGUUCUGAAAGGGUCCUUCACUCCUGAGCCAUUCUGCUUCCCAGUAAGGAAGUAAGCCUUUUCAAUCUCCAGGGCAUGGAGAAUGGCAUCUUCUCUGCGAAUGUACUUCCCUGUACUGGUUGAACUUUUCUUUGAACGGAUUGCAAAAGCCAUGGCCUUCUGAAUGCACUCAUCAAACUCCCCACAACGAAAUGCUUUGACACGAGUUGAUUUUGCAAGAUUAUACCAGUCCCUGAUUGCAAGUUGAUUAUUAGCAAACUUAAGCUUAUACUGACUGCAUGGUACUUAAACCAUGAAAUAGAAAGGUGAACAGAUAUAGCAUAUGUGCAUAUAGCUACUUUGCUCAGAUUUUGUAACCGCAUAAUUCAAGAUACAGAAAAUCAUGCACCAAACAUAAAUAAACGAAAGAAGGCACAAUCAGUAUCAUUGUUGUUGCCAUGUUCCUUGUUAUUUUCCAAGAUGUCACUGAGCAACUUAGGUUGGCCUUGAUGCACAACUGUUAAGUCAAUAAGGCUCCAUGGAAGGUUUGAGUUGCCUUUUUUUUAUAGCUCUCUGUCUAAAGUUGACUAAAAAAUUACCAUCAAAUCCCAGCCAAAAUAGAAGUAGUGGCAGCAAAUGAACUCAUUUUACAUCCCUUGUCUUUAAAGCCAGCUGAAACAAUGGUGUGAGGUAGAAUUAAAAAAAAAAAAGACAAUGAUCCAUAUGGUUCAUGUUAACAGAAUCGGCUACUAAUAAGUGUUCAGUGUUAAAUCUUAUCAUCUGAUCUUCAGUGGAUAUGAGAAUAGAAAAAAAAGAAAAUCUGUAACCAAAUACAAAACAGAACAUCAUUCAAGAUACGAAGAAUAUUCAGGCCACUUAAAAUAGGCAGAAGAAGGGGAUCUACAGAUGAGGAUACUCACAUGCUCCCAUCUUCUCUACCAAGAAGCUUGAUGGGAGUCCCUGAUCUCGGCGGAAGCACACAUUUCGCUGGCAAUUCAUCCCGACCAACAACCCGGCCCGGCCACCAUGACCCGUUAGGGCGACGCACCCACACGAGGCCCCCAGCCGACACAUUGUUGCUGCUCAAAAUCCCAUCUUGUUCACUGCCCAUAGAAAAAGAACUCGAAUCCACCAAAUCAAGAAUCACACGAUGUCGUACUGCUCCACCUACAAAGGGAACCGACGAAGCAAAACAAGAACAAGAAGAAACUGUUAGGUUACUGAACCACUCAUGCAUGGGUUUCUUGAACCAUCAGCCCAAAACUCGUUGGAGAAGGAUUAAAAAUGAAAGAUAAGAAUGGGGGAAUAUACUCCAUUAUGCAUUAGAGGAGGGGGAGAGGGGGUUGGGAGAGAGGGAAAUCCUAGAACAGAUGCUGCUACCUCGAAUAACCAAGAAAACAGAAGAGAUAUGCGAAGUGAACAAGGAAGAAACUUUCAAAGAGCACUAAAAACUCUUCGAUAGAAGAAGAAAGGCAACGAAACAAACCAAAGGAAAUAAAAGAGACGAGCUAUUCUUCGACGGAGAGGAAAGAGGGAAAGGAGGCUCUCCCCGGCAGAGGAGAAACAAGGACCAAAGGGACCAAAAAAACUGAAAAAAGAUGAUUAAAAACGAGAAUAAGAAUCAAGGACGGGGAGAUGAUUUCCAUCUGCACCUCUCCUACCUCUUCUUUCGGGUUCGUCGCUAUAGAAAGCGGCUCGAUCUUGUUUUCUCCAUUACACUUAGUUGCCGGGACAGCUGCGGAAGAGAAGGUUGGUGGGAGCGGAGAUGUCUGCAAUGGCAGAGAAGGGAGGAGAGAGCAGUGUUGGGAUGCGUUUCCUUUAGGAAGAGGUGGAGAGGAGGAGGAGGAGCGACAGACGGCGAAGCGAGUGAGGAAGGAGGGGGCGAGAGAGAGAGAGAGACAGAGAGACAAAAGUGCGAGCAGGAAGCAGCGCAUCCGGCGCAGGGAUUAGUACGAGUUGGGCUUUGGCCCGGCCAAAUGGGACUCGGUGCUGGUAUCUUCAGGACUCGAGUGACGCAGGAAGACGAAAGAACGACAUCGGCGGACACACAUGGCGACGAGCUGCUCAUCACCGAUGAUCCCGUUCUUAAUCCAACUGUGCCUACCGUUCACAUACCAAUUAUUCAUAAACAAACGACAAAGAUCUUAACAGCCGUCAAAGAAAAAUAGGGUUUCGACUCUCAUUUCGUUUAGAUAUUAGUUUUCAGAGAAAGAACAAAAAAAAAAAAAAAGAAGCCAUCUGUAGCCGAUCUCACUGUCAUAAUGUUUUAUUAUUAUUAUUUUUUUUCUUCUAUCAAAAUUUCAUUUGAUUUUAUUAUUUUAAAUUGAUCAACGAAACGGUCCGACCAUAACCUUUCAUUUCAUGGUCAGGACAUACAUAUAUAUUCAGUAAUUUAACGUCCAAAACUUGAGCAGCAACCAUGAACACAUCUAAAUUCCAAGAUGAUACAAGGAAAAGCAACAACCAUGAACACAUCAAGAGUUUCAACACAAUGUUGUUUACCAAUAUCGCAUCAAUACCAAUCCCAAAUAUUUAAACCUCAUCUUUAUGCAUGUUUUCGCUGAACCCAUAAGUACUUCGUCACGCCUCAAGUGCUUCAAAACAAAGAUAAAAGGAUUCCUCGCAGGAGCAAUGUCGCCAAUAAUAUAUGAUCAAAGAAAUGAGAGCGUAUCAUGUAUAAAACGCAAAUAUCACUCGAUCAACUCGUAAAAAUGGCACCAAAAAGGAGAAAGUAGCACAUUUGUGGAAGCUAUUUACCAAACAAUAACCAGGAUAUUUUAGGUCCCGUAACAAAUAAAAGUCAUCUGUACUCCAGAUUUAACAGUACAAGUCCUCUUGAUCUUUUUCUGUGUUCCACAUGUCAAACCACUCUGGCUUUAUACACGCAGAUGUAUGCCAUGUGCCAAUCACCUGCCAGAAAUGUUCAACUUCGUUUGAGCAAAAGUCCAACAACAACAAAAAAGUUCAAUAAUUCUCUCUUUUAAGUGUCUUACCACCGCCAGAUAGUUUUGUAAUAUCUUCUUCCCUUUGUGGGAUUGGAUUGUCAUCAUCAUAUUGAAUCCAUUUUCCUGCAUCAUCAGCAGUUUUCACGAUAAGAAACGAAAUGAAUGACAAAGGGCAAGCAAAGGAAUAUCUAAGCCUAUUAGACAGACCAUUUUCUUGUUUCACCCAGGCAACGUAGUGCCCAGAGUCAGCACUCCUUCCCUUGUGAGUAAGCACAGCUACCAAAUCAUAAAUUCCAGUUAACUGCCCCUUAUCUUCAGAAGAUACAGCUGUCGACAUCAGAGCAAAGAAAAUAAGCGACUUUGAUCUAAAUUGGUAGGUAUCAUCCCCUGUAAUUUCAUAGUUCAUAUAAAAGUCAGGCAUCUUGUGAAUUUAUCGAUUGGUGGUGUUUACUUAUGUAAUGAUUCAUGAAUCUGUAAGUUAUCAAGUUCCUUAACCUGGACGAACAAACUAUGCUUAUUGCUGUGUAACAUGGAGGAGAUAUUAGGGGUAUCAUCCUCAGAUGGAGCCAUGACCUGUGGAGUCUUUUAAUUAGUCUUCCCAUGGUUUAAACAUGAGGAAACAGCAAAGAACAAACAAAUGCAUGCAAAGCAUUUCCCCCCUUCCCUUCCUUUUUAAUGUUCUAUGUAAAUUUAGCUGCAUCGUUUCAAUGUUCUGUGUAAAUUUGGCAGCACUCUGUCUAGUUUUUUUCGAGAGAAGCAAUACUGAUAAGCACCUCUCAUAAAUGAAAGGACAGAAAAUUGAAAGAGAAUAAAAAUAAAAAGUAUGGAGGUUGGGUAGGGAAAACAAAUGGAAUUUAUAACAUGCAUUACAAUAAUGAAAAGAAAUCUAGGAAACCAACAACAUGAUAACUUGUUGGUUGCCAAUCCUUCAUACGCAAGGGUCUUGUAUACACAGAUGCAUUAGGGUGCAGGUGUAGAUAAUAAGCGGAUGAGCUAUGAUCCACAUCAGUGAGCACCAGACAUGAUCUUUGUUCAGUAGAAAGAGGAUCCAUGGUGAAAACCAUAAAGAAGUUUCUCAACUUGUGUUCGGAAAAAAGAUACCAUAGGACACCCAGUAUUUUGCAAUACUUCUCAACUCUAAAGAAGUAUGCACUGAAAGUUCUUAAUUUUGCAAUACCACAAAAGACGCCCAGUAUGUUCAUCCCGACCACAAAAUUGUCAUAAACACACAUCCCACACCCCCACCCAAAAAAAUGAAAAAUUGAUGCACCUAAUGAACCAACACAAAUCAUGAUUCCAAUACACCCAUAUAUCCAUCUGAACACAGUAUGUGGUGUGCUAUGUAUAUGAGAUUUCACUAAAGUUUGAUGAUGCUGAAUUCAGACACCAUAAUAUUGAUUGGAAAGAAGGGGAUCGUAAAAGAACCAAACCUGAAAUGCAGUUAGACCACUAAAUGGGCCAAACUAAGGACAGAAUCAUACAUGUCAGGCCCAAGUCAGAUGCAGGUCAGCCUGUACCAAAAACCCUAACCCUACCCUUGGUCAUCAGAGAAAGGAAGAAUACAAGUUCAUCUGAUGAACUUCGGAGGCAAAUGAUAUGUCAACAAUUAUAAGCAUUUGAGAUAGUCAUGAAGGAUGUUAUCAAUCAUAAAUAGGGCUUAAAUUGUUGACAAUGAAAUGCGUUGAGAAGCAUGAUUAAGAUGGCAAUUGGGAAAUACAGAAAACACAAGAAACAUCAUACUAUUAUAAAUUAAUGCCUUCGAGCUGCAAGCAAAUAAUUGGGAUGCAAGACCACUGUGAUGGAGAGUGAUAUCCGACUACACGACCUUUUGUUAAACUCUACAUGGACCUUCAUACAUCAACAAUAACUAUCAAUUACCUUUGUCAAGAGCCAUGCUAGAUGGUUCACUACUAUCAUUAGAUGACCCCUGCAGAACAUUCAAGAAAACAAAGAAAAAGAGAAUAGAGUUAAGCAAGUGAAGCAAGUGAAGCAACUUAUUCUAGCACAUAUUUACAAUAAACCAGCCUCUUCAUAAAUAUUUGUGAUGCUAAAAUGACUUCUUGACACUGUGUCACUUCUCAGAAGGCCUUAGCAUUACUACCUAAAUGCUGCUAUGAUUACUAUUUUGCAAUCUAUAAGGUGGGUACCAUAUCCAAUUUUAGUAUCAGUUGAGAAGCUGCUAAGCCUAAUUAGCACCUUGUUACCGCUUGUCCGAUCCAACUCAGUGAGUUCAAUGACAAUAGAUUCCAACCUUUAUACUUACUAUUCAAUACCAAAAGAACUGCAGGUCUAAUCAACAAUAUAUAUGCAAUUUAUAUAUGUUCAAUGAUUAUUGGGCUCACCUAAUCAUUGAUUUACAUACCAAAAGAAAGAGGGCUGUCUUGAUUUACAUACCUCUGAUGUAGGCAUGUUGACUUCAUGUUCCUUCUUCUUGUCUUCUACUUUUAAUCCAAGCUUGACAUUUUCUAACUCUCGUAGUGUCUUAUCCAUGUCAAUUGAGCAAAUCACGGGUAAAUUAUAAGAAUAUCAGUAAAAUAUUGUAAUUUUCCGUCAAACUAAAGGGCACAAAAGAAAGGUGGGCAAAACCUGACGAGGAGUCUGAAGCUUUUGACGAAGUUCAUCUGAACAGAACUCAUAAACAUCAAGUUCCAAAGGAUAAUCCACUUUCUGAAAAAAAAAAAGGGAAACAAAAUAAGCUUCCAUGUCCAUGGCAAGGACCACUGAAACUCUUGAUAGUUAUUGCCAGAUUCAAAUCAUUUAACAAACAUACACAAAAGAAAAAAGAAUAUCACAUGAAUUCACCUAUAAAAUUUACAAAGGAAAGCGGCACUCCAAAGAUACACGAUAAAGUAUAAAACUAACAUACCCGCAAUAUUUUUGCCUUCUGGUUAGACUCCCUUUUCCAGAAGAAACGAACAAACUGAACAGUCAGAUACCUGAGAAGGAAAUCAAAUAAGAACCAUCUUCAAAACAAUGAACAAUCAAGUCCCGGAGAAGGAAAUCAAAUAAAUAACCAUUUCGAGAAAAAAUAUUAAAACUAUUUUUAGAAGAAAAAAA